rnacentral:rRNA from 1 species
UACGGAGGGUGCAAGCGUUAUUCGGAAUCAUUGGGCUUAAAGGGUCCGCAGGCGGACUUAUAAGUCAGUGGUGAAAGCCUACAGCUUAACUGUAGAACUGCAAUUGAUACUGUAAGUCUUGAACGUGGUCGAAGUGGGCGGAAUAUGACAUGUAGCGGUGAAAUGCUUAGAUAUGUCGUAGAACACCGAUAGCGAAGGCAGCUCACUAGGCCAUGAUUGACGCUCAGGGACGAAAGCGUGGGGAGCAAACAGG